CCUACGGGAGGCAGCAGUGGGGAAUAUUGCACAAUGGGCGGAAGCCUGAUGCAGCGACGCCGCGUGAGGGAUAAAGGCCUUCGGGUUGUAAACCUCUUUCAGCAGGGACGAAGCGUGAGUGACGGUACCUGCAGAAGAAGCACCGGCUAACUACGUGCCAGCAGCCGCGGUAAUACGUAGGGUGCGAGCGUUGUCCGGAAUUACUGGGCGUAAAGAGUUCGUAGGCGGUUUGUCGCGUCGUUUGUGAAAACCCCGGGGCUCAACUUCGGGCUUGCAGGCGAUACGGGCAGACUUGAGUGUUUCAGGGGAGACUGGAAUUCCUGGUGUAGCGGUGAAAUGCGCAGAUAUCAGGAGGAACACCGGUGGCGAAGGCGGGUCUCUGGGAAACACUGACGCUGAGGACGAAAGCGUGGGUAGCAAACAGGAUUAGAUACCCUGGUAGUCCACGCCGUAAACGGUGGCGCUAGGUGUGGGUUCCUUCCACGGGUAUCUGUGCCGUAGCUAACGCAUAGUCGCCGCCGUCGGUAGGUACGGCCGCGACGGACGUAACGUUAAACGUAAGUUAGUACGGCGUGAGUAACGUCGUCCGUUACGGACGUACGACG
rnacentral:rRNA from 1 species